UACAGAGACUGCAAGCGUUAUUCGGAUUCACUGGGCGUAAAGGGUGCGCAGGCGGUCGGGUGUGUCAGAUGUGAAAUCCCGAGGCUCAACCUCGGAACUGCGUCUGAAACUACUCGACUAGAGUACUGGAGGGGGUAACGGAAUUCACGGUGUAGCAGUGAAAUGCGUAGAUAUCGUGAGGAACACCAGAGGCGAAGGCGGUUACCUGGACAGUUACUGACGCUCAGGCACGAAAGCAUGGGGAGCAAAAGGG
rnacentral:rRNA from 1 species